CACUCACAGCCUUUCUGGGGGUAGCUGCUUUGUUUCCAUUUCACAAGGAGAGAAACCGAGGACCGGGUCAGCCUGGCAGUGUGUGUCCUAUUAAGCGGAGGGCCUGGGCUUCCAUGUCUAGUCUGUCGGCCACCUUGUCCAUUUCUCUCUAAGAUGCAGUACCUUCCGUGAAGCUCAUGGGAUGUGCCUGGAUGCCAAGCCUAACUGGCUGGAGUUGGACAUGCUUCCUAACUGAGGCUCUCAGAACCUCUGUGCAUGCUGGUCCAGAAAGGGGGCCGAGACACAGCAUAACACUGUCCUCUGAGGCGAUUGGAAGGAACCUGUAGAGUCCUGAACUACAGAAACUUCACAGGCUCCAGGAUAUACAGAUGAAGUGACUGCCCCUCACCUGUGGUUUCAGCCUGCAUCUCUUUGCUUCCUUUGGCCCUUACUCUGACCUUCUGAAUAGCCCAUGGGGAUUUUCCAGCAGAUACGUUUCAGAAUGACAUCAUUUAAGACAUUGUCACCAGUGUCCCAGUGUGCCAGAGUACGCUUUUGCUCCACAUCACACCAGAUGAGGCUGAGGGCAGGACAGAUGCUUAUGAAAUCAGAAUCAUGCUCAUGAAGGUGAACAGUGAAGUACAUGGUGAUCCCUCGUUACUGAUGAUUUGCUCCUGGGAAUUCACAAAGGGAUUUCUGGGGCCAGGCAUCGUGCUUUGAUGUUUGGUAUUGAGAUGAUUGAGACUGACGGCUGUCCUGAAAUAAAACUGCAAGUAAUUAUGAUUCUGCUGCUUGGUGACUGGUAGAGAGGA